rnacentral:rRNA from 1 species
UACGAAGGGUGCAAGCGUUACUCGGAAUUACUGGGCGUAAAGCGUGCGCAGGCGGUCUGCUAAGAGAGAUGUGAAAUCCCCGGGCUUAACCUGGGAACUGCGUUUCUAACUGGCAGGCUUGAGUGUGGCAGAGGGGGGUGGAAUUCCACGUGUAGCAGUGAAAUGCGUAGAGAUGUGGAGGAACACCGAUGGCGAAGGCAGCCCCCUGGGCUAACACUGACGCUCAUGCACGAAAGCGUGGGGAGCAAACAGG